UGAAGAUAAUCCUGUUUUCAACUGAACUUCAUUUCCUAGAAUUAUGUUAUUUGUGCAUGAGCAUUGACUCGUCGGUGUACACUCACAAGCGGGAGAGGGAAGUGUACACGAGCAUUGAGUCAAUACCGUGUACGUAUAGCAAGACCGUAUUUCCUAUUGAAUCUCUCUUUCUACUCGAUGAAAUGUCGUUUUCAAAGUUAAUUUGGAUGUCUUGAUAACUUCUUAAUAUCUAGCAAAUUUAAUAAUUGUAUAUAGAGGUUGAUUGAUCUAUUAAGUUUGAUUA
rnacentral:lncRNA from 1 species